GACGUAGGGGGCGAGCGUUGUCCGGAUUUAUUGGGCGUAAAGCGUGCGUAGGCGGCUGCGCAAGUCGGUUGUGAAACCCCGGGGCUCAACCCCGGAACUGCAUCCGAUACUGCGUGGCUAGAGGUAGGUAGGGGAGAUCGGAAUUCCUGGUGUAGCGGUGAAAUGCGCAGAUAUCAGGAGGAACACCGGUGGCGAAGGCGGGUCUCUGGGCCGAUACUGACGCUGAGGAGCGAAAGCGUGGGGAGCAAACAGG
rnacentral:rRNA from 1 species